GCCUCGAUGGUGUAGUGGUAUAGCACGAGUCCCUGGUAUAGAUGAAACGAGGAGUUUGAUUCGCGCCUGAGGCU